ensembl:snRNA U2 U2 spliceosomal RNA
AUCACGUCUCAGCCUUUUGGAUAAGAUGAAAUACAGUAUAUGUUCUCAUCAGUAUAACACAGGCUAUGUCCUCAAUCCAAGGACAAUAUAGUAAAUGGAGAUUUUGAGGAGAAUGGAAUAAUAGCUUGUUUGGUCUACUACAAACAGAUCUGAUAUUGUCGUAUCUCCAGAAGCAGUGCACUGCAU